rnacentral:rRNA from 1 species
AGAGUUUGAUCAUGGCUCAGAUUGAACGCUGGCGGCAGGCCUAACACAUGCAAGUCGAGCGGUAGCACAGAGAGCUUGCUCUCGGGUGACGAGCGGCGGACGGGUGAGUAAUGUCUGGGAAACUGCCUGAUGGAGGGGGAUAACUACUGGAAACGGUAGCUAAUACCGCAUAACGUCGCAAGACCAAAGUGGGGGACCUUCGGGCCUCAUGCCAUCAGAUGUGCCCAGAUGGGAUUAGCUAGUAGGUGGGGUAACGGCUCACCUAGGCGACGAUCCCUAGCUGGUCUGAGAGGAUGACCAGCCACACUGGAACUGAGACACGGUCCAGACUCCUACGGGAGGCAGCAGUGGGGAAUAUUGCACAAUGGGCGCAAGCCUGAUGCAGCCAUGCCGCGUGUGUGAAGAAGGCCUUCGGGUUGUAAAGCACUUUCAGCGGGGAGGAAGGCGUUAAGGUUAAUAACCUUGUCGAUUGACGUUACCCGCAGAAGAAGCACCGGCUAACUCCGUGCCAGCAGCCGCGGUAAUACGGAGGGUGCAAGCGUUAAUCGGAAUUACUGGGCGUAAAGCGCACGCAGGCGGUCUGUCAAGUCGGAUGUGAAAUCCCCGGGCUCAACCUGGGAACUGCAUUCGAAACUGGCAGGCUAGAGUCUUGUAGAGGGGGGUAGAAUUCCAGGUGUAGCGGUGAAAUGCGUAGAGAUCUGGAGGAAUACCGGUGGCGAAGGCGGCCCCCUGGACAAAGACUGACGCUCAGGUGCGAAAGCGUGGGGAGCAAACAGGAUUAGAUACCCUGGUAGUCCACGCCGUAAACGAUGUCGAUUUGGAGGUUGUGCCCUUGAGGCGUGGCUUCCGGAGCUAACGCGUUAAAUCGACCGCCUGGGGAGUACGGCCGCAAGGUUAAAACUCAAAUGAAUUGACGGGGGCCCGCACAAGCGGUGGAGCAUGUGGUUUAAUUCGAUGCAACGCGAAGAACCUUACCUGGUCUUGACAUCCACAGAACUUUCCAGAGAUGGAUUGGUGCCUUCGGGAACUGUGAGACAGGUGCUGCAUGGCUGUCGUCAGCUCGUGUUGUGAAAUGUUGGGUUAAGUCCCGCAACGAGCGCAACCCUUAUCCUUUGUUGCCAGCGGUCCGGCCGGGAACUCAAAGGAGACUGCCAGUGAUAAACUGGAGGAAGGUGGGGAUGACGUCAAGUCAUCAUGGCCCUUACGACCAGGGCUACACACGUGCUACAAUGGCAUAUACAAAGAGAAGCGACCUCGCGAGAGCAAGCGGACCUCAUAAAGUAUGUCGUAGUCCGGAUUGGAGUCUGCAACUCGACUCCAUGAAGUCGGAAUCGCUAGUAAUCGUAGAUCAGAAUGCUACGGUGAAUACGUUCCCGGGCCUUGUACACACCGCCCGUCACACCAUGGGAGUGGGUUGCAAAAGAAGUAGGUAGCUUAACCUUCGGGAGGGCGCUUACCACUUUGUGAUUCAUGACUGGGGUGAAGUCGUAACAAGGUAACCGUAGGGGAACCUGCGG